GAGGAUAUAUGACGAAAGGGUGCAGACCUUGACAGAUGUGCAUCAUGUCCCAGAUCUCAGGAGAAGCAUAGUGUCAAGACUCGAGCUAGGGAUCAUGACCGGUGCAUAGGAUGGACUAGCCAACCUAGCAAGCCUAACAAAAAUAUCAAAUGGGAUAAAUCAAAUAUACAAAUUUUAUCGAAACUUGACAAAGUUUUUUCCAAAAGUUGGACAUUCCCAAAGGUAUGAUUUCCUACUUAAUCUAGUAUAUUCAUACAUACAUAUAUAUACAGUUAUUCUAAUUAAGCAAACAAAAUGGAAGCU
rnacentral:lncRNA from 1 species